UACGGAGGGGGCUAGCGUUGUUCGGAAUUACUGGGCGUAAAGCGCACGUAGGCGGCUUUGUAAGUUAGAGGUGAAAGCCCGGGGCUCAACUCCGGAAUUGCCUUUAAGACUGCAUCGCUAGAAUCAUGGAGAGGUCAGUGGAAUUCCGAGUGUAGAGGUGAAAUUCGUAGAUAUUCGGAAGAACACCAGUGGCGAAGGCGGCUGACUGGACAUGUAUUGACGCUGAGGUGCGAAAGCGUGGGGAGCAAACAGG
rnacentral:rRNA from 1 species